rnacentral:rRNA from 2 species
UGGGGAAUAUUGGACAAUGGGCGGAAGCCUGAUCCAGCAACGCCGCGUGAGGGAUGACGGCCUUCGGGUUGUAAACCUCUUUCAGUACCGACGAAGCGAAAGUGACGGUAGGUACAGAAGAAGGACCGGCCAACUACGUGCCAGCAGCCGCGGUAAUACGUAGGGUCCGAGCGUUGUCCGGAAUUAUUGGGCGUAAAGGGCUCGUAGGCGGUUUGUCGCGUCGGGAGUGAAAACAGCGGGCUUAACUCGUUGCUUGCUUUCGAUACGGGCAGACUAGAGGUAUGCAGGGGAGAAUGGAAUUCCUGGUGUAGCGGUGAAAUGCGCAGAUAUCAGGAGGAACACCGGUGGCGAAGGCGGUUCUCUGGGCAUUACCUGACGCUGAGGAGCGAAAGUGUGGGGAGCGAACA